rnacentral:rRNA from 1 species
UAGAAAUGUGUGACUGCUUGCCUUUUGCAUAAUGAGUCUGCGAGUUAUUGUCAGUGGCCCGUCAAAGACCCUAUGGGUUUAAGGCAAAGCGAAAGCAAGUACGAAACGUGCGCUAUGCCGCUGGCAAUAGACCCGAAGCGGAGGUGAUCUACUCUUGAGCAGGAUGAAGCCUAGGUAAAACUAGGUGGAGGACCGAACUCGUGAAUGUUGAAAAAUUCUGAGAUGACUUGAGAGUAGGAGCGAAAGACUAAUCAAACCCCGUGAUAGCUGGUUCUCUCCGAAAUCGCUUGAGGGCGAGUGUCGACAAUGUUCUCUUGGGAGGUAGAGCACUGGAUGGCUUAGGGACCACACCAGGUUGCCAAAACCAAUCAAGCUCCGAAUUCCCAAGAUCCCGUAAUGUCGGCAAUCAGGCUGCGAGGGAUAAGCUUCGUAGCCGAGAGGGCAACAGCCCAGACCGACAGCUAAGGUGCCUAAAUAAUGCUAAGUGGAAAGCAUGUGACGUUGCUUUGACAGUGAGGAUGUUGGCUUAGAGGCAGCCAUCAUUUAAACAGUGCGUAAUAGCUGACUCAUCGAGCGAUGUUGCGCCGAAAAUGAUUGGCGAUAAGCAUUAUACCGAAGCUUCGGAUUCGAGCAAUCGAAUGGUAGGAGAGCGUAAUUCUUGCUGUGAAGAUCCCGGGAAACCGCGGUUGGAGCGAGAAUUAGUGGGAAUGCAGACAUGAGUAGCGAUAAACUUGGUUAAAAUCCCAGUCGCCGUAAGCCCAAGGUUUCCUAGGGCAGGUUCGUCCUCCUAGGGUUAGUCUGGACCUAAGACGAGACCGUAAGGUGUAGUCGAUGGACAGCAGGUUAAAUAUUCCUGCACCCGUUUGGGUUAAGCCCGGAGCCCGCAAGCCUGAAUACGACUAAGCAAUCGAAUGCUGAGCCUAGACCUCGGUCGAAGCGUAUCGUAGUGUGGAUUGCCUAGAAAAAGCUCCGAGUGUUCCCCAAGUGGCCAGUACCGUAAACCGACACAGGUGGGUGAGUGUGAAUGCACAUAGGCGCGCGAGAGAGACCUCUCUAAGGAACUCGGCACAUUAGCCUCGUAACUUCGGGAAAAGAGGUGCUCACUUAGGUGAGCCACAGUAAAUUGCGUUUAGCGACUGUUUAACAAAAACACAGCUCUCUGCUAAGUCGUUAAGACGACGUAUAGGGAGUGACAAGUGACCAAUGCGGAAAGAUCAAGGCAAGGGGUUAGCAGCAAUGCGAAGCUCUGAACCCAAGUCCCCGUGAAUGUCGGCCGUAACUAUAACGGUCCUAAGGUAGCGAAAUUCCUUGUCGGGUAAGUUCCGACCUGCACGAAUCUUGUAACGACUGAACGACUGUCUCGGAGAGGAUCUUGGCGAAAUUGUAACGGCGGUGAAGAUGCCGCCUACCCCCCA